CGAAGAAACAUUUGUGAAGCUGAAUGAACCUUUUAGCUCGCGUUGGAGAAGGUCUUGCAGACGAUCGCAUUCCAUCACAGGAGCAAGAGUGCAUGGUUGUUGCUGGGUUGAACUUGCUCAGAUUGCAGUUACAUUCAGCAGUACAGAAUCACACAGAUGUGGAAAGUAUAGGACUUCGGGUGGGUUCUUUUCUCCUAGGAAGCUUGAAGCAACGAGUUGUCAAUCUUGCAAGCAGUUCUGGAGUUUUGCCUACAAUUCAGGGAGCUGCCCAAGCAACAUUACAGACAGGCUGGUCUAUUUUGCUGCCAACAGCAGAGGAACGGGCCAAAGCGCUGUCUCUCUUCCUU